rnacentral:miRNA from 1 species
ACAUUGUUGAGGGUCUAAUCGG